rnacentral:miRNA from 2 species
GUUUGUGACCGACACUAACGGGUAGU